rnacentral:lncRNA from 1 species
UUUUUUGGGGGGUGGUAUAUUCUAAUACUUCAUCAGUAACCCAAAAAAGUGAGAAAGUCACAGCUCCUGGUAGGCCUUCUUCCUAAUAAGGGACAUGGCUAAAGAGAUGCUUUCCAUUUGUUGAUAACUAGUAGAUUUAUGUUCUCAUUCAAUAUGUCUUUCAUUAAUAUAAGCAGCACAAUGAAAAAUUUCAUACUGUGAUAAGUAUAAACAGAUCACUGAUUUGAGAGAAACUGAAAAUUUUUCUUGGGGAUUAUUAAUGGAAACAUUAUGCUCCUUAUUAAAUUUGCAGACACAUGUAUUUGAAUAAUUACCCACUGAUUUUAUGAAGCUUGGAGGGAAUAGAAUCUUCCCUUUUUGAGUGUAGAAAUCUAGAAUAUAGUGAGUUCAGAACACUCAAGCCUAGAAAAUGCUUUAAUAUAUCUAAAGCUACAUGAAAGGAACAUACAACCAAAUGGCAACCCCAAUAAUCAUGAGAUCACUGAUAUAAGGAACAAAACUAAUGAGAAGAAAAGAUAGUUUUCCAUCUGCCAAUUUUGCU